CGGCGUGUGGCGCAGCCUGGUAGCGCACUUCGUUCGGGACGAAGGGGUCGCAGGUUCAAAUCCUGCCACGCCGA
rnacentral:tRNA from 1 species